CUCCACCCCUUCAAACUCUUUUUUUCCCCUAGCUCUUUUUACGCAAGAGACAAAGCGGAGCUUCCUUGAUGGCUGACAACCCUCUAAAACAUGGUGUGACUUAUAAUAGGAGCCUGCCGCUAUGUGGCUAGGAAAAUAGCAGCCUCCCUGCGCGGAGAGGCUCUGGGGGAGCCCAUGUCUGUCUGCAAGAGUCGGGUCUGCCAACCCGGCAACCCAAACCCCACAACAGGCAACCAAAAUCCCGCAAUAAUGCCUCCAUCUACAUAUUGCUCUGUAGAUCAGGAGUGUCCCCCUCCUUCUGCUUUAGAAGUUGAGACCCAGAAGUCUCCUACAUGAUGGAGCAAAAUGGAGGACGGAAAGCAGCGAAUGACGGUUCAUUUGGCAACUCCUGGAUAUGCAGGGAUUGAAUGGACCUGAGAAUCCUUCUGCUUCUCUCACCUCCUACUGUUUCACUCUGAAAAUAAAAUGCUUCUCGCAUACA